rnacentral:rRNA from 1 species
UACGUAGGGGGCAAGCGUUGUCCGGAAUUACUGGGCGUAAAGCGCGUGUAGGCGGCUCGGCAAGUCGGGUGUGAAAGCCCUGGGCUUAACCUAGGAAGUGCACUCGAAACUGCCAAGCUUGAGUUCUGGAGAGGAAGGCGGAAUUCUCGGUGUAGAGGUGAAAUUCGUAGAUAUCGAGAGGAACACCGGUGGCGAAGGCGGCCUUCUGGACAGCAACUGACGCUGAGACGCGAAAGCGUGGGGAGCAAACAGG